CAGUAGCCACGGUAAUACAGAGGGUGCGAGCGUUAAUCGGAUUUACUGGGCGUAAAGCGUGUGUAGGUUGUUGUUCAAGUUAGUUGUGAAAUCCCUGGGCUCAACCUGGGAACUGCUUCUGAGACUGAACGACUAGAGUACGGUAGAGGGUGGUGGAAUUUCCGGUGUAGCGGUGAAAUGCGUAGAUAUCGGAAGGAACAUCAAUGGCGAAAGCAGCCACCUGGGCCUGUACUGACACUGAGACACGAAAGCGUGGGGAUCAAACAGGAUUAGAGACUCCGGUAGUCCCUGUCUCUUAUAC
rnacentral:rRNA from 1 species